rnacentral:tRNA from 1 species
GGGUCCGUAGCUCAGCCUGGUAGAGCAGUCGGCUCUUAACCGACGGGUCGAGGGUUCAAAUCCCUCCGGACUCA